rnacentral:rRNA from 1 species
UACGUCGGGGGCGAGCGUUGUCCGAAGUUACUGGGCGUAAAGCGCGCGUAGGCGGUUUUUUAAGUUCGGGGUGAAAGGUUCAACGCUCAACGUGAACAGUGCCUUGAAUACUGGGAGACUUGAGUUCGGGAGAGGGCAGUGGAAUUCCUGGUGUAGCGGUGAAAUGCGUAGAUAUCAGGAGGAACACCGAUGGCGAAGGCAGCUGCCUGGCCUAGAACUGACGCUGAGGUGCGAAAGCGUGGGGAGCAAACAGG